GACGAACGCUGGCGGCGUGCUUAACACAUGCAAGUCGAGCGGGAUCCAACCGGUGGCAACACCGGGGAAGAUCUAGCGGCGAACGGGUGAGUAAUACAUCGGAACGUGUCCUUAAGUGGGGGAUAGCUCGGCGAAAGCCGGAUUAAUACCGCAUAAGCUCUGAGGAGGAAAGCGGGGGCUCCGUAAGGACCUCGCGCUGUUGGAGCGGCCGAUGUCGGAUUAGCUAGUUGGUGGGGAAAGGCCCACCAAGGCGACGAUCCGUAGCUGGUCUGAGAGGAUGAUCAGCCACACUGGAACUGAGACACGGUCCAGACUCCUACGGGAGGCAGCAGUGGGGAAUCUUGCGCAAUGGGCGAAAGCCUGACGCAGCGACGCCGCGUGGGGGAUGAAGCUCUCGGAGUGUAAACCCCUUUCGACCCUGACGAAACGCCCCGCAAGGGGAAUUGACGGUGGGGAGAAGAAGCCCGGCUAACUACGUGCCAGCCGCCG
rnacentral:rRNA from 1 species